rnacentral:lncRNA from 1 species
CAUAUAUUGGGCAUUGGGAUGCAAUAUGCCCAAUUACUAGGCACUUAAGCCACUUAAUAGUGCUUUAGCGAGUAGUAGGUACCUUAGGGUUGCUGGAGGGUUGUUUUCCCUUACUAUCAUCCACCUUCUUACCCUCAUCCCUUGGAGUCUAUCUCUAAUUACCUGAGGGGUGUUAUUGAUGUACCCCUGCUUGGUUCCUCUACCUUUCGAUUGUCUUUCAAUAUUGGUAGCUUUGUGUACAAUUUCUUCAAGGUCAACAU